AUAUGUAACAUAUAUAAUAUCAAAUAUGAAUAGGAGUAGAAAUUAAAUAUUAAAAAUAGGUGUAAGUUUUCUGUAUUUAAAGGGGUUUUUUUUUGUUUUUAUUUAGUCAGGGGUAGGGAGUUUUUUAGUUGUGGUCAGGCUUUUUUUGGGGCAUUUUGUAGGAUUGGGACUCUCCUUUUUGCCCCGGGAGCUUUGGGAUGGCGCCAGCCUGUGGCCUCUCCCACAGGUGAGUGUGACACGGUAGAGAAGGGAGCCAGGCAGUGCUCUGGGACUUUGAAUCUACCCAAUUGUUUUCCAAGUGUAUUUGCAGAGAUUCAGCUGUGGGGAAGCUGCAGACAAGGCUGCCUGGCACAGCCCCCCAGAAUGGGCCUCCUCCGACUGGGCUCCCGCAGAGGAUGGGGCAGUUGCAGCCCCCUGUCAUUCCUGUGAGAUUUGGUAAGUCUGGGGAGGGGUUUCCUGACUGUCCCUGUCUCCAAGCGAGCCGUGCCUCGUUGUCCAGAAGCCCACAGGGGUCGGCUGCAGUCCUUAAGGGCAGUGCCUGCUUUCACCACUGCCUUUUGCUGCCUGCAGAGAUCUGUGCUGAGGGUUGGCAGCUCCUGCUGGGGCAAGAGCUGCAUCUUCCAAGAGGCAAAGCUGCAGCAUCUUCCUCCCCAGGGACUGUCUCCAUGCAGGAAGCAGCACAGGGGACUGGCCGAGGGGCUCGGGCUGGGACACGGCCCCAACAGGAGCAGCCCUGGGACACUGACACGGGAGGAUGAGCCCAGGUGAGGAGCACGGGCCCAGCGUGGCACCAAGACAGGCAUCUCCUGUGGGUUAUGUGGGGCUGUGCUGUGCACCCUGGGGGUGCUGACUGACCCCCUUUGUGCCGAGACAGAGGAGAUGCUGCUGCACCACGUCCCCAGGAGAGCCCCUGCCUCCUUCUGCUCUCAGGGAUGGGACUGGGAGACGCCUCCACGCCGAGAGUGGCACUUGGCAUGGCUUCAGUCCCCAGUGGAAGAGGCUGGGCUCCCCGCUGCCCAGAGCUCCUGGGUAGGGACACCCACCCCUGCGCCUGGCUCAGAGUCCAGGGUGCACUCAGUCCGGAUCCAGCCUCGAGAUGUUCCUGCUGCAGCUGCAGGUGUUUCCCAGUCCAGCUCGCUGAGCCUCCGGCUCUGACAUUGGCACGUUCUUCCUUCCAGCUCUGGCUCUGAGAUGCUGCACUUGAUGGCUGCUCCAGUUCCUUCCAGCUCUGGGUUGGUUUUUUUAAGCACCACUACAAGGAGAUGCACCAAGACCCCCAGGGAGCCCCAGGACUGAGCGGGAGGAGCCCAGAAAUUUUGGGCACCCCACCCCCUGAAAUCAUUAAAUCCACAUGGAAGCUU